rnacentral:rRNA from 1 species
GACCAACGCUGGCGGGGUGCAUGAGACAUGCAAGUCGAACGGGGUUGAUCGGGCUUGCUCGCUCAACCUAGUGGCGGACGGCUGAGUAACGCGUAGGUGACCUACCCGGAAGUGGGGAAUAACUGCCCGAAAGGGUGGCUAAUACCGCAUGUGGUCGGCGAAUCGGAUCGCCGUCCAAAGCCGAAAGGCGCUUCCGGAGGGGCCUGCGUCCGAUUAGCUAGUUGGCGAGGUAACGGCUCACCAAGGCGACGAUCGGUAGCUGGUCUGAGAGGAUGAUCAGCCAGACUGGGACUGAGAACGGCCCAGACUCCUACGGGAGGCAGCAGUCGGGAAUUUUGCCCAAUGGACGAAAGUCUGAGGCAGCAACUCCGCGUGAGGGAUGAAGGCCUUCGGGUCGUAAACCUCUUUUCCCAGGGAAGAUCCAAGACGGUACCUGGGGAAUAAGCCACGGCUAACUACGUG